rnacentral:rRNA from 1 species
GAAAUGCGAUAAGUAAUGUGAAUUGCAGAAUUCAGUGAAUCAUCGAAUCUUUGAACGCACCUUGCGCUCCUCGGUAUUCCUUGGAGCAUGCCUGUUUGAGUAUCGUGAAAUCUUCAAAGUAAAUCUUUUGUUCACUCAAUUGAUUCUACUUUGGUAAUGGAGGUUUACUGCAGCUUCACAUCUGCUCCUCUUCGUGCAUUAGCUGGAUUCUCAGUGUUAUGCUUGGUUCCACUCAGCGUGAUAAGUUAAUUAAUUCGCUGAGGACACUCUAUAACCAAAGGGGUGACCAAGGUAAAUACAGAUGAACCCGCUUCUAAUAGUCCAUUGAUUUGGACAAAAUGAAUAAAUAAUAAUAAUAAUGAUCUGAUCUCAAAUCAGGUAGGGCUACCCGCUGAACUUAAGCAUAUCAAUAAGCGGAGGAAAAGAAACU